ACGGGAGGCAGCAGUGGGGAAUAUUGGACAAUGGGGGAAACCCUGAUCCGGCGACGCCGCGUGAGUGAAGAAGUAUUUCGGUAUGUAAAGCUCUAUCAGCAGGGAAGAUAAUGACGGUACCUGACUAAGAAGCCCCGGCUAACUACGUGCCAGCAGCCGCGGUAAUACGCAGGGGGCAAGCGUUAUCCGGAUUUACUGGGUGUAAAGGGAGCGUAGACGGAAGGCCAAGUCUGAUGUGAAAACCCAGGGCUCAACCCUGGGACUGCAUUGGAAACUGGUCAUCUAGAGUGCAGGAGGGGUAAGCGGAAUUCCUAGUGUAGCGGUGAAAUGCGUAGAUAUUAGGAGGAACACCAGUGGCGAAGGCGGCUUACUGGACUGUAACUGACGUUGAGGCUCGAAAGCGUGGGGAGCAAACAGGAUUAGAUACCCUGGUA
rnacentral:rRNA from 1 species